GACCCUCCCUUGCACAGCACUGCCAUCUACACUGAUGAUGAGUUUGGACACUGUGCAUCUCCAGUGCUUUUGACUCCUCAAAGUUCGAGCACUACUGAAAAUGAAGCAAGUGGAAACAAAUCUGUAAGAGUUAGUGUAAGAAAGUCCACAAGAAAACUGGAGCCCAUCAGUGAUGACUCUGAGAGCACAGAAGACAUAAGGAGAAAAGUGAAUUCAGUAUAGAAAAUAAGGCCAGAAUACCAUG